rnacentral:lncRNA from 1 species
UCACCACCACUUCCAAUCAUCUAUCUCUUCCAUUAACAAGUUCAUUCUAAGCUUGAAGUUCAUCCAUGGAAGGUGCAACAUGAAGGACUUUCUAAGGAGCUUGUUCUAGUCUUUUUCACCAUCAUAUUCUCAAUAGAUUCUACCCUAGCUAUAAGCUAGUAGACGUGAUUGGCCGACCUUGACUGUUAGCUAUAUUUGAGAAUCUAACCGAGCAAACCGAGGUGAGUUCACACACUUUCUAAGGCAUGGGAUUCCGGUGGUCGUUAAAUGCUUGGAGCUUGCAUAUGGAGGUGGUCGUUGUGGGAUGCGAACUGAUAUGUCCCGUAUUUAAUAAAUAAACUUUAUGAACUUAUUAACCUACGUUUUGGACUUUAAACUUAUGAACUAU